GCCUCUAGUCCAGACAGGCUGGGUGACUUCAGCCCUAAGAUAAUGCCUCUAGUCCAGACAGGCUGGGUGACUUCAGCCCUAAGAUAAUGCCUCUAGUCCAGACAGGCUGGGUGACUCCAGCCCUAAGAUAAUGCCUCUAGUCCAGACAGGCUGGGUGACUUCAGCCCUAAGAUAAUGCCUCUAGUCCAGACAGGCUGGGUGACUUCAGCCCUAAGAUAAUGCCUCUAGUCCAGACAGGAUUAUUUCAGCCCUAAAAUAAUGCCUCUAGUCCAGAUAGGCUGGGUGACAGGAUUACUUCAACCCUAAGAUAAUGCCUCUAGUCCAGACAGGUUUACUUCAACCCUAAGAUAAUGCCUCUAGUCCAGACAGGAUUACUUCAACCCUAAGAUAAUGCCUCUAGUCCAGACAGGUUUACUUCAACCCUAAGAUAAUGCCUCUAGUCCAGACAGGUUUACUUCAACCCUAGAUAAUGCCUCUAGUCCAGACAGGUUUACUUCAGCCCUAAGAUAAUGCCUCUAGUCCAGACAGGCUGGGUGACAGGCUGACUUCAACCCUAAGAUAAUGCCUCUAGUCCAGACAGGCUGGGUGACAGGCUUACUUCAACCCUAAGAUAAUGCCUCUAGUCCAGGUGGGAUUACUUAAACCCUAAAAUAAUGCCUCUAGUCCAGGUGGGAUUACUUAAACCCUAAGAUAAUGCCUCUAGUCCAGACAGGCUGACUUCAACCCUAAAAUAAUGCAUCUAGUCCAGACAGGCUGGGUGACAGGCUUACUUCAACCCUAAGAUAAUGCCUCUAGUCCAGGUGGGAUUACUUAAACCCUAAAAUAAUGCCUCUAGUCCAGGUGGGAUUACUUAAACCCUAAGAUAAUGCCUCUAGUCCAGACAGGCUGACUUCAACCCUAAGAUAAUGCCUCUAGUCCAGACAGGCUGACUUCAACCCUAAGAUAAUGCCUCUAGUCCAGACAGGCUGACUUCAGCCCUAAGAUAAUGC